GGGCGUUUAGUUUAGGGGUAUAAUGUUCGCUUCGCAUUGCUGUGACUGCGAAAGGUCCUGGGUUCAAUUCCCAGAACGUCCA
rnacentral:tRNA from 1 species